rnacentral:rRNA from 1 species
AGCGUACACGGUGGAUGCCCUGGCAGUCAGAGGCGAUGAAGGACGUGCUAAUCUGCGAUAAGCGUCGGUAAGGUGAUAUGAACCGUUAUAACCGGCGAUUUCCGAAUGGGGAAACCCAGUGUGUUUCGACACACUAUCAUUAACUGAAUCCAUAGGUUAAUGAGGCGAACCGGGGGAACUGAAACAUCUAAGUACCCCGAGGAAAAGAAAUCAACCGAGAUUCCCCCAGUAGCGGCGAGCGAACGGGGAGCAGCCCAGAGCCUGAAUCAGUGUGUGUGUUAGUGGAAGCGUCUGGAAAGGCGCGCGAUACAGGGUGACAGCCCCGUACACAAAAAUGCACAUGCUGUGAGCUCGAUGAGUAGGGCGGGACACGUGGUAUCCUGUCUGAAUAUGGGGGGACCAUCCUCCAAGGCUAAAUACUCCUGACUGACCGAUAGUGAACCAGUACCGUGAGGGAAAGGCGAAAAGAACCCCGGCGAGGGGAGUGAAAAAGAACCUGAAACCGUGUACGUACAAGCAGUGGGAGCACGCUUAGGCGUGUGACUGCGUACCUUUUGUAUAAUGGGUCAGCGACUUAUAUUCUGUAGCAAGGUUAACCGAAUAGGGGAGCCGAAGGGAAACCGAGUCUUAACUGGGCGUUAAGUUGCAGGGUAUAGACCCGAAACCCGGUGAUCUAGCCAUGGGCAGGUUGAAGGUUGGGUAACACUAACUGGAGGACCGAACCGACUAAUGUUGAAAAAUUAGCGGAUGACUUGUGGCUGGGGGUGAAAGGCCAAUCAAACCGGGAGAUAGCUGGUUCUCCCCGAAAGCUAUUUAGGUAGCGCCUCGUGAAUUCAUCUCCGGGGGUAGAGCACUGUUUCGGCAAGGGGGUCAUCCCGACUUACCAACCCGAUGCAAACUGCGAAUACCGGAGAAUGUUAUCACGGGAGACACACGGCGGGUGCUAACGUCCGUCGUGAAGAGGGAAACAACCCAGACCGCCAGCUAAGGUCCCAAAGUCAUGGUUAAGUGGGAAACGAUGUGGGAAGGCCCAGACAGCCAGGAUGUUGGCUUAGAAGCAGCCAUCAUUUAAAGAAAGCGUAAUAGCUCACUGGUCGAGUCGGCCUGCGCGGAAGAUGUAACGGGGCUAAACCAUGCACCGAAGCUGCGGCAGCGACGCUUAUGCGUUGUUGGGUAGGGGAGCGUUCUGUAAGCCUGUGAAGGUGUGCUGUGAGGCAUGCUGGAGGUAUCAGAAGUGCGAAUGCUGACAUAAGUAACGAUAAAGCGGGUGAAAAGCCCGCUCGCCGGAAGACCAAGGGUUCCUGUCCAACGUUAAUCGGGGCAGGGUGAGUCGACCCCUAAGGCGAGGCCGAAAGGCGUAGUCGAUGGGAAACAGGUUAAUAUUCCUGUACUUGGUGUUACUGCGAAGGGGGGACGGAGAAGGCUAUGUUGGCCGGGCGACGGUUGUCCCGGUUUAAGCGUGUAGGCUGGUUUUCCAGGCAAAUCCGGAAAAUCAAGGCUGAGGCGUGAUGACGAGGCACUACGGUGCUGAAGCAACAAAUGCCCUGCUUCCAGGAAAAGCCUCUAAGCAUCAGGUAACAUCAAAUCGUACCCCAAACCGACACAGGUGGUCAGGUAGAGAAUACCAAGGCGCUUGAGAGAACUCGGGUGAAGGAACUAGGCAAAAUGGUGCCGUAACUUCGGGAGAAGGCACGCUGAUAUGUAGGUGAAGUCCCUUGCGGAUGGAGCUGAAAUCAGUCGAAGAUACCAGCUGGCUGCAACUGUUUAUUAAAAACACAGCACUGUGCAAACACGAAAGUGGACGUAUACGGUGUGACGCCUGCCCGGUGCCGGAAGGUUAAUUGAUGGGGUCAGCGCAAGCGAAGCUCUUGAUCGAAGCCCCGGUAAACGGCGGCCGUAACUAUAACGGUCCUAAGGUAGCGAAAUUCCUUGUCGGGUAAGUUCCGACCUGCACGAAUGGCGUAAUGAUGGCCAGGCUGUCUCCACCCGAGACUCAGUGAAAUUGAACUCGCUGUGAAGAUGCAGUGUACCCGCGGCAAGACGGAAAGACCCCGUGAACCUUUACUAUAGCUUGACACUGAACAUUGAGCCUUGAUGUGUAGGAUAGGUGGGAGGCUUAGAAGUGUGGACGCCAGUCUGCAUGGAGCCGACCUUGAAAUACCACCCUUUAAUGUUUGAUGUUCUAACGUUGACCCGUAAUCCGGGUUGCGGACAGUGUCUGGUGGGUAGUUUGACUGGGGCGGUCUCCUCCUAAAGAGUAACGGAGGAGCACGAAGGUUGGCUAAUCCUGGUCGGACAUCAGGAGGUUAGUGCAAUGGCAUAAGCCAGCUUGACUGCGAGCGUGACGGCGCGAGCAGGUGCGAAAGCAGGUCAUAGUGAUCCGGUGGUUCUGAAUGGAAGGGCCAUCGCUCAACGGAUAAAAGGUACUCCGGGGAUAACAGGCUGAUACCGCCCAAGAGUUCAUAUCGACGGCGGUGUUUGGCACCUCGAUGUCGGCUCAUCACAUCCUGGGGCUGAAGUAGGUCCCAAGGGUAUGGCUGUUCGCCAUUUAAAGUGGUACGCGAGCUGGGUUUAGAACGUCGUGAGACAGUUCGGUCCCUAUCUGCCGUGGGCGCUGGAGAACUGAGGGGGGCUGCUCCUAGUACGAGAGGACCGGAGUGGACGCAUCACUGGUGUUCGGGUUGUCAUGCCAAUGGCACUGCCCGGUAGCUAAAUGCGGAAGAGAUAAGUGCUGAAAGCAUCUAAGCACGAAACUUGCCCCGAGAUGAGUUCU